GGAAGAAAGAUUUUACAAAUAUUCUAUCUUCUGCAAUCUUAUUUUAGAAAAAUUAUUUAGUUUAAGCAGAUGGGCUGUUUAAAAUAAUUAGAUACUUUCACAGUUUAAGUAACUUUCUAUGCUACUUUUCAGAGGAAAUAGCCAAUGUGCAACAUGGGAAUGUGACAGUAAGUCAGUCACAAAGACACACACAGGUUGGUUAUAAAAGUGACAUGCAGCAUGUACUUAGGAUCUCUGCAGGCUUUUACAACUCAGAGCAAACCUUUUGCUGCCAAGAUCACAAAAUUAUUGAUACAUGAAUGUGCUUGACAAAAGCAGUUUCAUUUAUAAAUGGAUAAGAAAUAUGAAAUUGCUGUAUUUUUCAAUUUAUUUGUGUUUAUUCUUUCUUACAAUAUACUUCAACUUCUUUGUGUGCUUUUGUUGAGACCAGCAUUGAAAAGUAGGGAUUUAAGUAUGGAACAAUUCUAAUAGCUAUACUGCUCUUUUCUACUAUUAGAAGGAUUUGCAUCAUAACUAAAUAUUUGCUUGUGGUUUUAAGUGCGAAAAAAAUAAAUUAUGUUUGCAGCAGAAACUUCUACCCCCACACCAAGUGUAUGUCUCCUAGCCCAUUAGCUAAGCUCAGAUGAAUAACUCAGAGUCUUAGCAGAUGAGUUCUUUCCCCAAGGGAAAAAAUCUUUCAUGUUUGGAGGGCAACAGUGCUGCAAAACAAGGGAACUCUGCAGAACUGCUGUGAGGUAGCCAGUGCACACUUUUAAAGCAAUGUAAAGUUUGGGUUUCUGAGGGUUGUUUUUAGUCUUGCUUGGAUGGAGAUGGAAGAUGACUCCUGACUGCCUGCUUGAAUUAGGGAACAUGACUUAAUAUCUUUCUUAUAGUGAAAUGCAAAAAACUUAAAUUAAACCUUUUGAGAACUUCAGCAUAUUUUCAAGAGAUUUGUAUUUGGAACAAGAUGUGUAAAAACAGGCUGUCCCGUGCUCAUGAGGACCUGUACAUGGAACUCUUAUUCUGAGCUUGUAUGUAAGUAGACAUUAAAUGGAAUAUUUCCUAAUAUGUUUGGAUCCAAAUUGAGUAUAUACUGUAUGUCAAAGGAUAACAUUAGAGAAAAUUUUCCCAUUGGCUGUUCCUCUAAAAAUACAAAGUUCCAGUGAUUUUUUACUCCCAAAAUUUUCUCCCUGUCUUUUUUUUUUUUUUUUUUCCUCUCUUUCAGGUUUUAACUUUCAAUUUAAUACAUACAUAUAAUUUUUUAGGCUUUAUAGUAAUGCAAGUUAUCUUCAUUUUCUUCUUGCCUUAUAUCUUAAUGAGCAUCCAGAUUGUUACCUAUGUGUGUACAGAUACAUAUAUUCACAAUAAGGAAUGAAAUUAAUUGUUAGAGAGAGGAGAAAUACCUGGUAAGUGCUUUUUCAUGUCUGCAUGAAUUCUCUUUGCAACCUCAAUUCAUGCUUUGUUGGCAGUUAAGGUUGUUAUCUGAGGAAAAAUAACCUCAUAGCCCAAUAAAAAGAAAGUUCUUCAAGUUCCUUUUUGUUUACAUGAAGGAAUAAGCAACCAAAAAGGUUUUUAGUUGUGCAUGUUUCUGUACACAUCGUGUUAUUAAACAGUGUGAAUGCAAACUGAAAACUUGAUAUUUUGCUGAGGCAAUCACAGGGUAUAAGGGGAAGAAUAUUUGGCAGUGAAGUCAGAUAGGAGUGAAAUAUAUUUUUUUUAUGAUUCAUCUUUCACACAUUUAGCUUGAAAGAGUAGCUCUGAAUAAUUCUGCUUUGGAAUGAAGUGGCCUACCAAAGCCAAACAACAUGAGAGGCUUCAACUGAAAAGCUACUCACCAUCAAGGCUGGAUUGUGAAUGUUGUGUUCAUGACCAGCAAAGCCGCCUGAAAAUGUGUGUUUUUGCAAGUGCUUCCCUGAAGCGGAGCAACUUAAUUUGGUUGCUCUGCGGGAUUAUCUGAUUUUGGGGCUGCUUAGACAUUAAUUCCACAAGCCCAAAUUACUUUCAACAAAGGGUCACAGAUGCCUACUAAUUCACAGGAUAACUAUUAACUCUGAUUUAGAUUCGCAAUUAAUGCAGGUUUCUCACAUUUUCAACAUCCUCUGCCUUUCCAAGAAUUUAGCAAAAAUAAUGAUAUAAUGACUCAGGAAAAUCACAUUCAUAGACAUCUGUACUUGUCCAGGAUAUAAGACUUGACCACAAACCCUUGUAGUUAUAAAAUACUUUCUGUCUUCUCUAACAUUGUUGGAAGAGUUACAUGUUGUUUCUCAGUGACAUUUCUGAGGUUUUUAAACCUCUGAUAAUAGAUGUGUAAGGCAUAGCUUUAAAAUGGCAAGGUUCAAAAAAAAAAAGCUAGCUAACAAAUUUGUUAGGCCAUACUCUCAUGAUGUACUCUCCCACAAGCCUAAAUAAGAGGUGUUCCUCUUAUUUAGUAUAUGUAUGGUAGUGUUUAAUACAAAAUAAACUUCAUAUGUGCAAACAAGUUCAUUAAAAUUGCAAGAGCCUAUACCACAUUUGUAACAGCUUGCCCAAAGGUUAGCAUUUAUAGUUUUGCACUGCCAACAUCCUGCUUUUAUGGGCCACAUUUAUAUGCUAAAUUGCCUAUUAUGUUAAGUUGUAAGUUCCCAUUUAGCAGCAUCCGGAAUAGGAUUUGACUAUAAGUGUUUAGAUUUUAUUAGUGCUAUGGUUGUCUUCUUAACAGCUCAAACUUCCUGCAGGCUGAAAAUUUGCUGCAUCCUCUACAGAGGUUCUUGUGUACAAGAUGUGUUUAGGAACAGCAAAGGAUAGACAGCAUGGGAAGAAAUGUAAGACACUGCCCAUUGAUUGGAAAAAAUGUGCCUUAUUGUGUCUCACCUCUAAGGAAGUCUUAAAUGUCAUGGUUAAGCAAUGCUUACAUCUAAAACAAUCUCAGUAACAUCCACUUCUUGACUUAACAAGACCAAAAAGGUCAGCUGAAAAUAUUCCAAGAAGAAGGGUGUUUUAUUGGUAAGUAAAUAUGUCUAGCUGCUUUCUUUUUGCUGUAGGUUACUUCCCGACGCAUGACCUAACAGAGGGAAGUGUGAUAUACCAGCCACAUAAACUGAAGUGGCAAAUUUUAGCUGUAUAUGCAGUUCGCAAAGAAACAGAGGAACUGGAAUCACUUACAUGAGAGGAAGAAAUGCCUGGUGGAAUAUUCCUGUUUCUGUUUCUCCAUCUUCCUUGCUAAGUGAAAUCAAGGAACAAGGAAAAUGAUCUCGUUAGGACUAUUACCCAUCAUGCUUGUUCUCAUGGAUUUCUUCUUGCAGAGAUGCUGGAUAAAUUCUGGAAAAAUGCUGAUUAGGAUUGGCCUUGCUCAUACCCAGACCUGAUUGUUCCCAACCCAGAUGGUAUUGGAGUGUUCGAGUUUUUCAUGCCUCAAAAAAACAAUAAGAUGCUUGCCAGUCAAAAAUCCCUGGAGUCUGGAUUUUCUUCAUGCCAGUAUAUUAAAAACCGGAUGGGAAAAAAAAAAAAAAAACAACAACAACAAACCCUCUUUAUUUUGUCCUUGAAACCUCCCAGAGAGAGCUACUUCAUGAAAGGAAGAGAGAUAUUUGAUGGAAUGUGGACAGAUAACUGAGUGCAGGAUCAACUCUUAUUCCUGGAAUGACUUUUAUGGCUACUGAAGUAAAUGUUCUCAGUCCGAUAACAUCAAGAAAGCUUUAAGUAAGUGGAACAUCUUGUAUUGUGGUCAAAGAGAUAUGAAACAUAGCACUAUAAUAACCAAGGCAGUCUUAUUAUCAAGAAAUAUCCUGGCCAAAGGAAGCCAAUAGCAUUCUUAUUUAAAAAAAAAAAAAAAAAAAAAAAGCAAUCAGAAUUCAGAAAGAGAAAAUUGAUUCCACUUUUGAAACCAUGAAACUGCAUGCAGAAAUAAAAUGUGUUAAAUCCAGUUGCACUUAAGUCACUAUUUACUUUUCUCUCACUGUGUGCUUCAGUUCUGUUGAGGGUGAUAAUCACUUGCUGCCAAACCAAAAGGAAAAGCAAACCGUUAUUAUUCUCAGGAUAGUAACAGGGUUUUUGCAAUGAAGGAGUGUGUGCACUCCAAUUAUUUGACUUCCUGUCAGCAAACUAGAUGUUACUAUGUUUGUUUUCUGCUUUCCAGUCAACGUGCUUACAGCACUGCAUUUUCUAAUCUUUCUGGUGCACAGGCUGACAUUGCAGCACCACAGUGUAGUCUGUUACCUUCUGUCACAUCUGCUUAGAUUUGAAGUAACAUGUAUAUACUAAGACACAACCUGAUGAAACACAGCACAUCAGCAACAUAAAGUCAUGCUCUUUCUUGGCUUUGGGGACAAGUGUAGAAACUGAAAUUCUUAUACAAAAGGCAGUGAAGGCAAUAGUGCAUUUGUUUACUGGAGUCAUCAAUUAAAUCAGAAUAUUCCAUUUUCUAUAAUGAAAAAAGUUGGUAAUAUUCAAUGAAAACAUUUACUAAAAUGUAUGAUUCAACAUGUUUUUUUCUCAUUGCCUGUUUUGCAAAUGUUAAUGGGAAAAUCAUAAAUGAACAGAGAGCAAAUCUAAGUCAUUCCUACUGCUUAUUAGAAGCCAAUUCAAUAUGUGAUUAAACAACGUACAAGCCUUGUUCUAAUCCUAUUCAUAAAGUGAAUUUUAUUCUGUAGAAAGAUCAUAUCUAGAAAGCGUGUCAUGACAGAUUUAUCAACAAAUUCAAUUACACUAAAAGCUAGAAUGUCUGCACUAGCAAAAUUGUACAAGAGAAAUUGCUUCAUGAAGUUAGUGAUGAUGUAUUAUUUCUACCUAAGACCCAGACUUCUGAUACCAGUUAAGAUUUAAGAAAAAAAAAUCAGUAUCAUUUGCUCUGUCAAAACACAAAAGAAUAUAACCCUUUUAAACUUAACACAAACCGAAAACUCAUAAAGAACUUACUAAAAUGAAAUACUAAGUUGUUUAUUGCUGGUAGAGGAUAAUGGAUGGGUAUGUUCAGGAAAUGAAGUUACAUCAGUGAGACAGGUCUUGUCUGCAACCACAUAGCAGAUCUUGCACUGAAUGGUUCAUCCUUUGUCUUUUUCAAGUAAAAAAAGAUUCACAUAUUAUAAAUUCCCUUUUUCCUGAUAGUGGAUCAAGAUGGGGGAGACAAAGAUCACGAAUAAUAUUUAUUAAAACCUUUCAUUAAUUAAGCUGGUAUUAUUAUUAGAAUCCAGCUUUUAUUUUUAAUUAAAGAUAACUGUAUGUUCACUUACUCCCCAGCUCAGUCAUACACAUGCUUACGUGAGGUGAGUCACGGUUAUGUGGCUGGUGUAGUGGGGUGGCCAACCAUGGUGAUGUCAGCUGGGUAGGUAGGUGUCUUUGUUUGAACAGAAGCCAUCACGUUUUGUCUGUGGGUCAAGUGAUAGGACCCAUUCUUGAUGCUACUGUGUACUGGUGGCUUUGGACGAAGUCAGCAGACUUUUGGCAUUUUAUCCAUUUCUGCAGGUUCAACCAGACCAUUAGUCUCCAGAGUUUAUCAGACAUUGUAAGGCUUUUAAACACUCUCUCUGAACAUAUAUUGACCCCCUCUUUGGCUGUUUUCUGGUAACUUCCUCUCCAUCCACACCCAUCAGUACCUCCAGACCCAUUUCACACAACUUCACACAGAUGAGUGUGGCACACAACUGAAAUUUCAAAAGUGUGUACACAAAAUGCUGUGAUAACGCUGUAUUCCUGCCAUGUUAUA